CACCAAUCAAGCCCCGCUUGGUAUUGGGCGCAGGCCGGUUUAAAACCCCGGCCCGCCUGGAAUGCAUCGGCGAGGACACCGACCCCCGGCGUGUUAAGAAUUUCAUUCGUACGCCAGGAGCACCGGUUUGGACUCCGCCGCUAAAGCACCAAUUUUUACAA
rnacentral:misc_RNA from 1 species